GUGCCAGACUCCUACGGGAGGCAGCAGUGGGGGAUAUUGGACAAUGGGGGAAACCCUGAUCCAGCGAUGCCGCGUGAGGGAAGAAGGUUUUCGGAUUGUAAACCUCUGUGGACAGGGACGAUAAUGACGGUACCUGUCAAGAAAGCCACGGCUAACUACGUGCCAGCAGCCGCGGUAAUACGUAGGGAGCGAGCGUUGUCCGGAUUUACUGGGUGUAAAGGGUGCGUAGGCGGCUUGGCAAGUCAGUAGUGAAAUCCAUGGGCUUAACCCAUGAACUGCUAUUGAAACUGUCGAGCUUGAGUGAAGUAGAGGUAGGCGGAAUUCCCGGUGUAGCGGUGAAAUGCGUAGAGAUCGGGAGGAACACCAGUGGCGAAGGCGGCUUACUGGACUGUAACUGACGUUGAGGCUCGAAAGCGUGGGGAGCAAACAGGAUUAGAUACCCUGGUAC
rnacentral:rRNA from 1 species